rnacentral:lncRNA from 1 species
UUCAGGAAUAAAGAUUUGGGUCAUCCUUAUCAGGUAAAGAAUUGUGAAAAGCUGAGCUGUCUGAGGGCAAAGAAAAGAUGAAAUGAGUAAUGGAAGAAUAAAGAUGGAAGAAGAAACAUUUUGUUGUGGUGUCCCGGCCAGGCCCAGCGGGAGAGUGGGAAGAAACACAAAAGAAGGCGGCAGGAUCCCAUGUGUUUCUAAUCCAAAGAAUAUCACUGGGAGACUCUUGGCUUUUCCUUCAGGUACUCUGUUCACAUGGGCAUCUGCCCGAGUUGGCUUUGCUUCUCCCUUGGAGACAUUCAGAACUGUUUGGGAUUCUGUCGCAUGGAAAUCUACUAAGCCAAAACAGAGCUGGGACAACUCUUCAAUUACUUGGAAAAAGUUUAUGGCUACUAUGGUUUCCUCUUCUUCAAGGAAGAUAUGCCCUGUUUCUUCAACUGUACCUCAAAUAUUUUGGUCCUAAGCUCUUCCCACACCCUGGUCAUGGUGUAAGCACAAGUGUAAUUGUGGGACAUAUUCCCUUUCUUUUGCAUUUAGAUAGUUAUGUGGGCAACUUACCAGAGGCAGAGAUGAAGGGCGGUCUGCUCGGAAACUGUUUUCAGCAGAAGAUGGAUUGGGACUGUUACCAACACUUGUAUUCUGAAAUUAUUGGAACAAAACGAAAAGCCAGAUUAACUAUGAAACCAUAAGAAAUACAGAAGAGAGACAGUAAUUGAGGCUCAGGGACAUCAUACUCACUUCUAAGUGUCCACACACAGAUUUUAGUAGUUUGUAAGUUGAAUCUCUGGAGAGUAAGGAGACAAAUAUGUACUGAAAAACAAAACAGGAUAAUUAUGAAUAGAUAUUGCCGGAUGGAUUUGAAUUCAUCACCUCUACUGAUUCCCAUUAAUAAAUGUUAAUGGAAUGGGCAAGGAAAUGAUCCGACCUUUUGAAGAUCCAUGGACUGCAAGCAAAUAUGACGAGUAGGGUGGCUCUACCCUUGAUAAUUUCAAAAGGCACAAGCAAUAAGGGGGUUCAUCUGCAUGACACUGGCCCCUGUGGACAGGGUCUUUAAAAUGAAUAUGUACAAAAGAAGUGAUAAUCCUGCUACAAUAAUGGAGGGAAACCAUCAACAGAAGACUGAUUUCUGAAACUUUCUGAAAUAUGGAAAAACGGAAAGCGGAAAGUAAAGUACAAUAUUUACUCAUGCAGCAAAGCAAGGGAAGCCAUAAUCUUGAAUAUAGGCAUCAACGGGGGAUAAGAAAACACCGACCCGUUUGUCAGAAGUCCAGUGAGGUGCUACAGGAGGAGUGGGUGAGAAGUUUCCGAAAACACUAGAUUUAAUUAAAGAUGAACCUGAAUUCACUCUCAAAAGAAGAAGAUUUGCCAACCUUAUGACUAUUCCAAGAAUUGGCUCCAGGCUUUGAAAGUAACACUACAAGAAGAAUUUCAAAAAGAUUUUGUGCAAUUGCUGCAUUGUUGGAAAAGUUCUUGGGUUCCUUUGGUGACUACUUUUAAAGACACAACAUUCACAUGCUUUUAAAACACAUCAGUCACAUCACUUUAUAGAAACACUCUGUACUUGUGCAAAGAAGAACCCAUCUAUGGUUUUUAAAAAUUGGAAUCCAUGAAUGACUGCUGUGCCAAUUAGGACGUAGAGCUUCAACUGAAAAAAUGAACUUCUCUACUGCUAAGCUGGAGCACAGAUAAAUAUGCAAGUAUCCAAAGAGGUACCUGUGUUUAACAAUACAGAGAAAGCACAAGUGCUUAAUUGACAGCUAAUCUUGUCUUCUACAGAACAUUAGAAAUUCUUUCAAUGUUAGAAUUGUAGAAU